rnacentral:rRNA from 1 species
AUUGAACGCUGGCGUCAUGCCUUACACAUGCAAGUCGAACGGCAGCACGGGAGCAAUCCUGGUGGCGAGUGGCGAACGGGUGAGUAAUAUAUCGGAACGUGCCCAGUCGUGGGGGAUAACGCAGCGAAAGCUGUGCUAAUACCGCAUACGAUCUAUGGAUGAAAGCGGGGGAUCGCAAGACCUCGCGCGAUUGGAGCGGCCGAUAUCAGAUUAGCUAGUUGGUGAGGUAAAGGCUCACCAAGGCGACGAUCUGUAGCUGGUCUGAGAGGACGACCAGCCACACUGGAACUGAGACACGGUCCAGACUCCUACGGGAGGCAGCAGUGGGGAAUUUUGGACAAUGGGCGCAAGCCUGAUCCAGCAAUGCCGCGUGCAGGAUGAAGGCCUUCGGGUUGUAAACUGCUUUUGUACGGAACGAAACGGUCUUUCCUAAUACGAGAGGCUAAUGACGGUACCGUAAGAAUAAGCACCGGCUAACUACGUGCCAGCCGCCGCAGUAA